GCCUAACACAUGCAAGUCGAACGGUAAUGUUCGUAUGCUAGCGGCGGACGGGUGAGUAACGUGUAAGAAUCUAUCUUCACUACGUUUACAACGGUUGGAAACGACAGCAAAUACUCGAUAUGCCGCAAGGUGAAACCUAAUUGGCCUGGAGAACAGCUUGCGUCUGAUUAGCUAGUUGGGGGGGUAA
rnacentral:rRNA from 1 species